AAAUUAAUAAAAGCGCCAGGACUUAAGGAUUUGAAUUUUAAAAUGAAACUUAGCUAAAGCUAAGUAAGUUCGCUUAACCAAAUCAUAGAUUUGGAAUUUUAAGAUGAAACUUAGCGAAGGCUAAGUAAGUUCGCUUAGCCAAAUCAUAGAUUUGGAAGCUCACUUAAGUUGACGAGGUUGGGGAGUAUCGAGACUUCGGCGGGUGCCCCACGGUAUCGCACUACCGUUAACGGUUAAUAAAACUAUGAAGUGAUUUAUAGCACAAUAUUAACUUGGUGUAAAAA
rnacentral:ncRNA from 2 species